AACGAACGCUGGCGGCAGGCCUAACACAUGCAAGUCGAACGCUCCGCAAGGAGAGUGGCAGACGGGUGAGUAACACGUGGGAAUCUUCCUAUCGGUGCGGAAUAGCUCAGGGAAACUUGAGGUAAUACCGCAUACGCCCUCAGGGGGAAAGAUUUAUCGCCGAUAGAUGAGCCCGCGUCUGAUUAGCUGGUUGGUGGGGUAAUGGCCCACCAAGGCGACGAUCAGUAGCUGGUCUGAGAGGAUGACCAGCCACACUGGGACUGAGACACGGCCCAGACUCCUACGGGAGGCAGCAGUGGGGAAUAUUGGACAAUGGGCGCAAGCCUGAUCCAGCCAUGCCGCGUGAGUGACGAAGGUCUUCGGAUUGUAAAGCUCUUUUGCCGGGGACGAUAAUGACGGUACCUGGAGAAUAAGCCCCGGCUAACUUCGUGCCAGCCGCCGCGGUAACAC
rnacentral:rRNA from 1 species